CCUACGGGUGGCAGCAGUGGGGAAUAUUGGGCAAUGGAGGAAACUCUGACCCAGCAACGCCGCGUGAAGGAUGAAGGUUUUCGGAUUGUAAACUUCUGUUGCGAGGGAUGAAGAAUGACGGUACCUCGUGAGGAAGCCCCGGCAAACUACGUGCCAGCAGCCGCGGUAAUACGCAGGGGGCACGCGUUGUCCGGAAUGACUGGGCGUAAAGGGAGUGUAGGCGGCCUUUUAAGUUAUAUGUGAAAGCCCCCGGCUUAACCGAGGAACUGCAUAUGAACCUGGAGGGCUGGAGUGCAGGGAGGGUAAGCGGAAUUUCUGGUGUAGCGGUGGAAUGCUUAGAUAUUAGGAGGAACACCAGUGGCGAAGGCGGCUUGCUGGACUGUAACUGACGCUGAGGCUCGAAAGCGUGGGGAGCAAACAGGAUUAGAUACCCUUGUAGUC
rnacentral:rRNA from 1 species